CAUCUGUCCCCACUAACUGGAGCUGUGCUGGCACUUACCAGAUGCAGCUUCACAAAAGACACCACAACCCUGGCAUCUUUAAGGACAGAAGGAGUCUGGCAAGGAAGGUUGAGAAGACAAAAUGAAAGAUACCGGAGACAUCAAAAAAGUGACUCCCAUGUUUACAACUUGAUCCAAGGGUUACGUAGGGACACAAUGGAAAUUCAACAGCUAGGAGACAUCACCCUCAAUGUCUUUCAUCAGAGCCACACUCUUCUGAGCAGAUGAUGAGAUCCUGAUGCUUGUUUCCCUGAUCUGCCCAGAAGGGACAUCUGUCAGAUCAGGGUUGGCACAAAUGCUGACUUGGACCACAUUGUUGGGACCCCACUGUUGUCUGUGAAGGCUGUGCCAAGGGGCAAGGUCUUCUUCUCAUGCUUGAAAUUAAGCUGGAAUCUUCUCCCACCACC